GAUGAACGCUGGCGGCGUGCCUAAUACAUGCAAGUCGAGCGAACAGACGAGGAGCUUGCUCCUCUGACGUUAGCGGCGGACGGGUGAGUAACACGUGGAUAACCUACCUAUAAGACUGGGAUAACUUCGGGAAACCGGAGCUAAUACCGGAUAAUAUAUUGAACCGCAUGGUUCAAUAGUGAAAGACGGUUUUGCUGUCACUUAUAGAUGGAUCCGCGCCGCAUUAGCUAGUUGGUAAGGUAACGGCUUACCAAGGCAACGAUGCGUAGCCGACCUGAGAGGGUGAUCGGCCACACUGGAACUGAGACACGGUCAAGACUCCUACGGGAGGCAGCAGUAGGGAAUCUUCCGCAAUGGGCGAAAGCAUGACGGAGCAACGCCGCGUGAGUGAUGAAGGUCUUCGGAUCGUAAAACUCUGUUAUUAGGGAAGAACAAAUGUGUAAGUAACUAUGCACGUCUUGACGGUACCUAAUCAGAAAGCCACGGCUAACUACGUG
rnacentral:rRNA from 1 species